UACAGAGGGUGCAAGCGUUGCUCGGAAUCAUUGGGCGUAAAGGGCAAGUAGGUGGUCUUGUUUGUCUGGGGUGAAAUCCUUGAGCUUAACUCAAGAAGUGCCCUAGAAACGGCAAGACUCGAGUCCUGGAGAGGGUGGUGGAAUUCCCGGUGUAGCGGUGAAAUGCGUAGAGAUCGGGAGGAACACCAGAGGCGAAGGCGGCCACCUGGACAGGUACUGACACUCAACUGCGAAAAGCGUGGGGAGCAAAACAGG
rnacentral:rRNA from 1 species